rnacentral:rRNA from 1 species
GGUUAAGCGACUAAGCGUACACGGUGGAUGCCCUGGCAGUCAGAGGCGAUGAAGGACGUGCUAAUCUGCGAAAAGCGUCGGUAAGGUGAUAUGAACCGUUAUAACCGGCGAUGUCCGAAUGGGGAAACCCAGUGUGUUUCGACACACUAUCAUUAACUGAAUCCAUAGGUUAAUGAGGCGAACCGGGGGAACUGAAACAUCUAAGUACCCCGAGGAAAAGAAAUCAACCGAGAUUCCCCCAGUAGCGGCGAGCGAACGGGGAGGAGCCCAGAGCCUGAAUCAGUGUGUGUGUUAGUGGAAGCGUCUGGAAAGGCGCGCGAUACAGGGUGACAGCCCCGUACACAAAAAUGCACAUGCUGUGAGCUCGAUGAGUAGGGCGGGACACGUGGUAUCCUGUCUGAAUAUGGGGGGACCAUCCUCCAAGGCUAAAUACUCCUGACUGACCGAUAGUGAACCAGUACCGUGAGGGAAAGGCGAAAAGAACCCCGGCGAGGGGAGUGAAAAAGAACCUGAAACCGUGUACGUACAAGCAGUGGGAGCCCUGAUUUAUCAGGGUGACUGCGUACCUUUUGUAUAAUGGGUCAGCGACUUAUAUUCUGUAGCAAGGUUAACCGAAUAGGGGAGCCGGAGGGAAACCGAGUCUUAACUGGGCGUUAAGUUGCAGGGUAUAGACCCGAAACCCGGUGAUCUAGCCAUGGGCAGGUUGAAGGUUGGGUAACACUAACUGGAGGACCGAACCGACUAAUGUUGAAAAAUUAGCGGAUGACUUGUGGCUGGGGGUGAAAGGCCAAUCAAACCGGGAGAUAGCUGGUUCUCCCCGAAAGCUAUUUAGGUAGCGCCUCGUGAAUUCAUCUCCGGGGGUAGAGCACUGUUUCGGCAAGGGGGUCAUCCCGACUUACCAACCCGAUGCAAACUGCGAAUACCGGAGAAUGUUAUCACGGGAGACACACGGCGGGUGCUAACGUCCGUCGUGAAGAGGGAAACAACCCAGACCGCCAGCUAAGGUCCCAAAGUCAUGGUUAAGUGGGAAACGAUGUGGGAAGGCCCAGACAGCCAGGAUGUUGGCUUAGAAGCAGCCAUCAUUUAAAGAAAGCGUAAUAGCUCACUGGUCGAGUCGGCCUGCGCGGAAGAUGUAACGGGGCUAAACCAUGCACCGAAGCUGCGGCAGCGACGCUGAUGCGUUGUUGGGUAGGGGAGCGUUCUGUAAGCCUGUGAAGGUGGCCUGUGAGGGUUGCUGGAGGUAUCAGAAGUGCGAAUGCUGACAUAAGUAACGAUAAAGCGGGUGAAAAGCCCGCUCGCCGGAAGACCAAGGGUUCCUGUCCAACGUUAAUCGGGGCAGGGUGAGUCGACCCCUAAGGCGAGGCCGAAAGGCGUAGUCGAUGGGAAACAGGUUAAUAUUCCUGUACUUGGUGUUACUGCGAAGGGGGGACGGAGAAGGCUAUGUUGGCCGGGCGACGGUUGUCCCGGUUUAAGCGUGUAGGCUGGUUUUCCAGGCAAAUCCGGAAAAUCAAGGCUGAGGCGUGAUGACGAGGCACUACGGUGCUGAAGCAACAAAUGCCCUGCUUCCAGGAAAAGCCUCUAAGCAUCAGGUAACAUCAAAUCGUACCCCAAACCGACACAGGUGGUCAGGUAGAGAAUACCAAGGCGCUUGAGAGAACUCGGGUGAAGGAACUAGGCAAAAUGGUGCCGUAACUUCGGGAGAAGGCACGCUGAUAUGUAGGUGAAGCGACUUGCUCGUGGAGCUGAAAUCAGUCGAAGAUACCAGCUGGCUGCAACUGUUUAUUAAAAACACAGCACUGUGCAAACACGAAAGUGGACGUAUACGGUGUGACGCCUGCCCGGUGCCGGAAGGUUAAUUGAUGGGGUUAGCGGUAACGCGAAGCUCUUGAUCGAAGCCCCGGUAAACGGCGGCCGUAACUAUAACGGUCCUAAGGUAGCGAAAUUCCUUGUCGGGUAAGUUCCGACCUGCACGAAUGGCGUAAUGAUGGCCAGGCUGUCUCCACCCGAGACUCAGUGAAAUUGAACUCGCUGUGAAGAUGCAGUGUACCCGCGGCAAGACGGAAAGACCCCGUGAACCUUUACUAUAGCUUGACACUGAACACUGGUCCUUGAUGUGUAGGAUAGGUGGGAGGCUUUGAAGUGUGGACGCCAGUCUGCAUGGAGCCGUCCUUGAAAUACCACCCUUUAAUGGCUGGUGUUCUAACGUUGGCCCGUAAUCCGGGUUGCGGACAGUGUCUGGUGGGUAGUUUGACUGGGGCGGUCUCCUCCUAAAGAGUAACGGAGGAGCACGAAGGUUGGCUAAUCCUGGUCGGACAUCAGGAGGUUAGUGCAAUGGCAUAAGCCAGCUUGACUGCGAGCGUGACGGCGCGAGCAGGUGCGAAAGCAGGUCAUAGUGAUCCGGUGGUUCUGAAUGGAAGGGCCAUCGCUCAACGGAUAAAAGGUACUCCGGGGAUAACAGGCUGAUACCGCCCAAGAGUUCAUAUCGACGGCGGUGUUUGGCACCUCGAUGUCGGCUCAUCACAUCCUGGGGCUGAAGUAGGUCCCAAGGGUAUGGCUGUUCGCCAUUUAAAGUGGUACGCGAGCUGGGUUUAGAACGUCGUGAGACAGUUCGGUCCCUAUCUGCCGUGGGCGCUGGAGAACUGAGGGGGGCUGCUCCUAGUACGAGAGGACCGGAGUGGACGCAUCACUGGUGUUCGGGUUGUCAUGCCAAUGGCACUGCCCGGUAGCUAAAUGCGGAAGAGAUAAGUGCUGAAAGCAUCUAAGCACGAAACUUGCCCCGAGAUGAGUUCUCCCUGAGACUUAGAGUCUCCUGAAGGAACGUUGAAGACGACGACGUUGAUAGGCCGGGUGUGUAAGCGCAGCGAUGCGUUGAGCUAACCGGUACUAAUGAACCGUGAGGCUUAACCUU